rnacentral:pre_miRNA from 1 species
UCCUGGACAAAUAUGAAGUAAAUUGUUUUUAUGCAUCAAUUACUUGAUAUUCAUCCUUGAAC